rnacentral:rRNA from 1 species
UACGUAGGGGCAAGCGUUGUCCGGAUUUAUUGGGCGUAAAGAGCGUGUAGGCGGCUUGGUAGGUCCGCUGUGAAAACUCGAGGCUCAACCUCGAGAUGUCGGCGGAAACCACUUGGCUAGAGUCCGGAAGAGGAGAGUGGAAUUCCCGGUGUAGCGGUGAAAUGCGCAGAUAUCGGGGAAGAACACCUAUGGCGAAGGCAGCUCUCUGGGACGGUACUGGACGCUGAGACGCGAAAGCGUGGGGAGCGAACAGG